AUUGAACGCUGGCGGCAGGCCUAACACAUGCCAGUCGAGCGGAUGAAGGGAGCUUGCUCCUGGAUUCAGCGGCGGACGGGUGGGUAAUGCCUAGGAAUCUGCCUGGUAGUGGGGGAUAACGUCCGGAAACGGGCGCUAAUACCGCAUACGUUCUGAGGGAGAAAGUGGGGGAUCUUCGGACCUAACGGUAUCAGAUGAGCCUAGGUCGGAUUAGCUAGUUGGUGGGGUAAAGGCCUACCAAGGCGACGAUCCGUAACUGGUCUGAGAGGAUGAUCAGUCACACUGGAACUGAGACACGGUCCAGACUCCUACGGGAGGCAGCAGUGGGGAAUAUUGGACAAUGGGCGAAAGCCUGACCCAGCCAUGCCGCGUGUGUGAAGAAGGUCUUCGGAUUGUAAAGCACUUUAAGUUGGGAGGAAGGGCAGUAAGUUAAUACCUGGCUGUUUUGACGGUACCAACAGAAUAAGCACCGGCUAACUUCGUG
rnacentral:rRNA from 1 species